rnacentral:rRNA from 1 species
UAAGGAAUAUUGCUCAAUGGGGGAAACCCUGAAGCAGCAACGCCGCGUGAGGGAUGAAGGGCUUUUGCUUGUAAACCUCUGUAGUGAGGGAAAAAAUUUCCACUCUGUGGAAUAUGAUGGUACCUCAAAAGUAAGCCCCGGCUAACUACGUGCCAGCAGCCGCGGUAAUACGUAGGGGGCAAACGUUGUCCGGAUUUACUGGGUGUAAAGGGUGCUCAGGCGGUUUUGUAAGUCAGAAGUGAAAUCCUAGGGCUUAACUCUGGAACUGCUUUUGAUACUGCAAGGCUUGAAUGUGGAAGAGGAGGAUGGAAUUUCUGGUGUAGCAGUGAAAUGCGUAGAUAUCAGAAAGAACACCAGUGGCGAAGGCGGUCCUCUGGUCCACUAUUGACGCUAAAGCACGAAAGCGUGGGGAGCAAACAGG